rnacentral:piRNA from 2 species
UGCCUCAGCAUUCACAGAAAGCUCAGCAC